UAAUCUAAAAAAGAAAACAAAUAAGCAAACAAGAGGCGAUUGAGCAUCCGCGCAAAGGGGAGGGACCUGGGGCGCAAUUAGCUCUUUCAAACAAAGAAGCGCGGACCCGGCCUAUCCAUCGGGUUAACACGCGGAUCCCUCUCCCUUUGAAACUACGCCGUUUCACUUUUGACAAAGUCAGGUUAAAGAAAACCCUAAAACUAGUUGUAUACCAUUCAAAGGCAGAUCAGAAUGAUAAAAAAAAAACUAAAGCCUAGCCUCCUAUUCAUUCGGCCAAACUCUUUCCUUUCGCCUGCCGUCCGACCUUCAUACUUGAUCAACGGUCAUCAUACAAAAGGCCUAAUCCAGCUCCGUUCGACCGUGAGUCCAAAGGUUCUUUUAGAAGUCUCUGAAUCCCCCCCCCAAAAAAAACUCCGAUUGCGACGAAGUGAGCGAGGAUUCGAGGGAACCAAGAACGGAGGUAAGCCUUUUUUGUUGUUUUUUAUACACCAAAUACAAAAGACAGAAACCAGGAAAGAAAGAUCCCCGAAUCGAGGAAGAAGAAGAACUAAAAAGGUACGAGACGUGCUGGCGUUCGGGUACGAUAGCUGGCGUACGGGUGCACGCAUGACUACUGAAACGCUGGAGCGUACUGAGGCGUGGAGGCUGAAUGGUUGCGGCGCACGGAGAGAGCCUUAGGGUUUCGUUUGGCCGAUCCUAGAUCUAGGUUUUGGGCCAUCUGGCCAUGUAUUUUUCUGGGUUAGGGAUUAGGCUGAUGAGUAUUGGGCUAAAGUCUGUAAAUAGACAUUUAAUGGACUAUUUGUGUUUUAAAA